rnacentral:rRNA from 1 species
UGGGGAAUUUUGCACAAUGGGGGAAACCCUGAUGCAGCGACGCCGCGUGAUUUAGAAGGCCUUCGGGUUGUAAAAAUCUUUUCUAUGGGAAGAAAAUGACAGUACCAUAGGAAUAAGGACCGGCUAAUUACGUGCCAGCAGCCGCGGUAAUACGUAAGGUCCGAGCGUUGUCCGGAAUCAUUGGGCGUAAAGGGUACGUAGGCGGGUAAGCAAGUUAGAAGUGAAAUCCUAUAGCUCAACUAUAGUAAGCUUUUAAAACUGCCCAUCUUGAGGUAUGGAAGGGAAAGUGGAAUUCCUAGUGUAGCGGUGAAAUGCGCAGAUAUUAGGAGGAAUACCGGUGGCGAAGGCGACUUUCUGGCCAUAACCUGACGCUGAGGUACGAAAGCGUGGGUAGCAAACAGG